rnacentral:tRNA from 1 species
GCCUUGGUGGCACAGUGGUUAAGCACUUGGCUGCUAACCAAAAGGUCGGGGGUUUGAACCCACCAUGGCU